AAAAGAAUAAAACGGCCAAAACUCUCUUUCUCUUCUUUUUCUUUCCAUUCUUUUUUUUCAUUCUUUUUCUUUC
rnacentral:ribozyme from 1 species